rnacentral:lncRNA from 1 species
UUAAAAAAAUUAUAUGUGGAACAUGUGGGAGCGAUUUUUCCCACGAGAAUAUUCGAUUGAUUGAUUCCCCUUUCUUCUUCGUCGCCUCUUUCUCCCUGCAAAAUAGAUCGGAAUAAGAGGACCACACCCAGGAGAUGUUGGCCAAAGGUCCUCCGAUGCCUAUGUUAGUUCAAGAGUUUAUAGGAAAGCAAUAAUUAACUAAAAGGGUACGGAGUUGUAUGUAUGGCAUGAACCGGUUGGUCGGAGCAGUGUGUGAUGGCCAGAGCCUUU